rnacentral:rRNA from 1 species
UACGUAGGGUGCAAGCGUUGUCCGGAAUUAUUGGGCGUAAAGAGCUCGUAGGCGGUCUGCCGCGUCGGCUGUGAAAUCCCGAGGCUCAACCUCGGGUCUGCAGUCGAUACGGGCAAACUAGAGUAUUGCAGGGGAGACUGGAAUUCCUGGUGUAGCGGUGAAAUGCGCAGAUAUCAGGAAGAACACCCGUGGCGAAGGCGGUUCUCUGGGACGGUACUGACGCUGAGACGCGAAAGCGUGGGGAGCGAACAGG